CAGCAGCCGCCGCGGGAAUACAGAGGGUGCGAGCGUUAAUCGGAUUUACUGGGCGUAAAGCGUGCGUAGGCGGCUUUUUAAGUCGGAUGUGAAAUCCCUGAGCUUAACUUAGGAAUUGCAUUCGAUACUGGGAAGCUAGAGUAUGGGAGAGGAUGGUAGAAUUCCAGGUGUAGCGGUGAAAUGCGUAGAGAUCUGGAGGAAUACCGAUGGCGAAGGCAGCCAUCUGGCCUAAUACUGACGCUGAGGUACGAAAGCAUGGGGAGCAAACAGGAUUAGAUACCCCUGUAGUCCCUGUCUCUUAUAC
rnacentral:rRNA from 1 species